UUUCAAGAAAAAGUUGAAUCCUAAGGCUGGCAUCUCCAAGAAGAAGGUGAAGAAGGUCUCCACCAAAGGUACUUGUUAUCACAGUGGCAAGGAGAGCCACUGGAAGAAAAAUUGCAAAGAGUACCUUGCAACCGUGAAAUCGGGUCUAUAGGAAAUAAGAUAUCUGAAUAAAGGUGACUUUGAGCUGUUCGAUGCUAGUGGAUAGUCCAUUCAGGCUGAAGUCAUAGAAAUCAGGAUUUUGAAGUUGCCUUCGGGCAAAGUUUUAGAACUAAAGACCUAUUACUAUAUUCCUGAUAUUGUUAGAAAUAUUAUUUCUGUACCAUUGUUAUUGAAAUAAGAUUUUGAAAUAAUU